rnacentral:lncRNA from 1 species
ACUAUGGGUGCAAUCAACAGUUUUUUUCUAUGACGUCAUAUUUUGAGGGACCAUGCAUAAGUGACCCUUAGUAGUGGACUGAUUAAUAAAGAUACUUGUAUAAAACUAGAUAUCACUGCAAUCAGAAUGUUCUCUAGUUUAUAAUGAAAUAAAAAUAAAGUGUACUUUUAAUAGUAUAAAAAAGUUUUAUCCAGACAAAAUGGGAAAAACAUUGCCAUGAUUGCCUAAUCUAAGCUUAAAAAACCUGAAAUCAGGUCAUGUGCACACCCAUGAAGACAUGAUACAUGAACAUUUUUCAUAAUCAAAACUGUAUGAAUUUCAUAGAUUUUUACCGGGUCUUUCAAAAAAGUCAUCCUUCAGGGUACAUUCGCCUGCUCUGAAAAAAGCUCUAGUGGCUGCAAAUAAGUUUUCAAUUUUCACUGCCAAAUAAACAGGAUGUUUACAGUGUUGUCUCCCCUUAAAACAUGUAUAUUAAAUCUAAUUUUUUAAAUUAUUUUAAUCAUUCAACCUGUUUUAAUUGAAGUUAAUUAACAUAUUUUUACAACCAAAUACAAAAAACAUGAUUCUUUUUCACCAAUUAUGUUGAUAAAAAGGGACUUCCCUCCAUGUCUAUUUUUAGUCGGGGAAUAACGCCUAGUUUAUUACACAAAACUGUUUAAAG